UACGGAGGAUUCAAGCGUUAUCCGGAUUUAUUGGGUUUAAAGGGUGCGUAGGCGGUCGGAUAAGUUAGAGGUGAAAUCCCGGGGCUCAACUUCGGAAUUGCCUCUGAUACUGUUCGGCUAGAGGGUAGUUGCGGUAGGCGGAAUGUAUGGUGUAGCGGUGAAAUGCUUAGAGAUCAUACAGAACACCGAUUGCGAAGGCAGCUUACCAAGCUACUUCUGACGUUGAGGCACGAAAGCGUGGGGAGCAAACAGG
rnacentral:rRNA from 1 species